ACAUACAUACAUACAUACAUAUGCAUACACGUGGCGGGACAAAUCAAAUAAUUCACUAGGACGCCGUCGUCAGAUGAGCAAUAUGACCCUGCAGCAGCGCCAUGGUUACCAAACUCACUAAAGAAAAGAAGAAGAAAAACAAGAUGUGUGUUUCCUUCAGGUCCUUUUGUGCAUUUCCGAUCUGUGACAUAAAGCUUUAUGUUCGAUUUGAACCACUCCACCAACGCAAAUAUUUAAGUCUGUUUAAGGUCUUUUUUUUUUUUUUUUUGAAGUUUACAAGUCACUCUCCGGUGAAAGUGAGGUAAAAUCAUAGCUAAUUGAAUUCAUUCCUUCACAUCUACAAGUGAUGUAUUGAAUUAAUAAUGGUGACAUUUGUGAUGAGUAAUAAACCAUAAUAAUAUAUUACAAUAGCUUGGCCUCUGUCUAUUCACGUGACCUUCAGGAGUUUAAUUUCCAAAAUAAAAGAAGAGGAAGAAGUCACAUCAUGUAACAGAUACGCGGUGCUUGUUUUGAAAUAACCAGUGCCUUGUUUUAUUUUUAGCAAUUUAAAGAAGCAGAAGUAGUCAUGUGUGAUAACUUAGAUUAGGGGUGUCCAUACUUUUUCCAGCGACAGCCGUAGAAAUAAAAAUUGAAGGAUGCGGGAGCCGCUUUGAUACAUUUUGUGGGGCUGUUUGCAACAUUCACACUGAUGCCUAGAGGGCGCCACCUUUCCAAUGUAUUUUACACAGUAUAUUCCGCCCUGCUUAGGCUUCUCCUACGUAAUGACGUAAUUACGUACGUACGUAACACAUGCACGCGCAUUAGCUUUAGGUGUAGUUAGCUAAUAAUUGCAAUUUGGAUAGCUAGCGUUAGCCGUCAUUAAAUGUAUAUUCUAUCAUCUUUUGGACUGCUUUUGUAUGUGUGCACACGCUCCCUGCGUCUACUUGUUGACACCACCAGUGUCCUGCAAAACAGUGCAAAUUGUGAGACUGUGAGUCCACUUGGGUCACGGGAUUAUCAAUUGGAAGGCGUCACAGUUCUGAGCACUUCCCGCAGAGGAAAGGCGAGGAGGUGUCAUGGAGCUUACAGAGGAAGAGUGGACAACGCCGGAAGGCGAGGAGGGGAAGUAGUCGAAGACGUUUUCUUUCGGCCUUUUUCUCUCCUCCCCUUCUGACAUGUGGUCACUUUAAGGAGACACGGCCAUCAUCAUUAACCUGAACACAUUCUUUCUUUUUCGUUGUUUUCUAGCCAAAAGGACCUCUUCAGAAUGGGAAUGAGGCCUUCAGGUGGUCUGCUCCCCCCCCCGCCAGUGGGCUCCCGUCUCAGCGAGAAGGCCCC